GAACUUAUUUGCAGCUCAUUCACUACAACUGAAAUGAUUUGGAGAAGCCAGGAUGGCCCUUGCACAAGACAUGCAAAGUCAUGAAGUCUAUAUAUUUUUU
rnacentral:snRNA from 1 species